rnacentral:rRNA from 1 species
GAUGAACGCUGGCGUCGUGCCUAAUACAUGCAAGUCGAGCGAACAGACGAGGAGCUUGCUCCUUCGACGUUAGCGGCGGACGGGUGAGUAACACGUAGGUAACCUACCUAUAAGACUGGGAUAACUUCGGGAAACCGGAGCUAAUACCGGAUAAUAUUUCGAACCGCAUGGUUCGAUAGUGAAAGAUGGCUUUGCUAUCACUUAUAGAUGGACCUGCGCCGUAUUAGCUAGUUGGUAAGGUAACGGCUUACCAAGGCAACGAUACGUAGCCGACCUGAGAGGGUGAUCGGCCACACUGGAACUGAGACACGGUCCAGACUCCUACGGGAGGCAGCAGUAGGGAAUCUUCCGCAAUGGGCGAAAGCCUGACGGAGCAACGCCGCGUGAGUGAUGAAGGUCUUCGGAUCGUAAAACUCUGUUAUUAGGGAAGAACAAACGUGUAAGUAACUGUGCACGUCUUGACGGUACCUAAUCAGAAAGCCACGGCUAACUACGUG